UUGGAAGCUGCUACGCAGUACCUGGGCUCAGAGGCUUUCCCAGCUGAAUAGGGGCACUCUGCUCUUGUACAGCUGUGCCAGGUGUCUGAGCUUUCCCUCUUCUGCGAGGUGCGACUGAUACGUCAGUGCUACAUGUGCGACACACGUCUUGUUUCAAGAGAGAGCACCAAAUAUGUAGAGAUACAUUGCUGUUCUUGCUCCAUGGAUUCAAUAAAGAAUAGAAAUCUUCUGCUGCUGUUUGUUCAUGAGGCACAGACAGGCUGUGUUCACUGCCAGGAUGUAACACCAUGCCCAGGGAAACCCGUACCCCUGUGUAGCCUGUACCUCACCCAAACCCGCCCACGUUAAUGAAGGCCUUUCCAUUUUCUGCCAAGAAUGAGAAAGGCAAUCUGUCAUGGCAAUGAACUUCAGCUGUCCCAGCACACAUAAGUCUUAACAUUUCCUCAAAACAAGCUGAAAAGAACUAUGUCAAAGAUGAUCAAAACAGAAUACUUGGAAGUCUACAUUACCUUCCAACAGCUACGUGGUUUUCUAAGACUUUGAUGAUUAAGACAGAGUAGGCCACUUCUCCUUUGAUAGCAGAGGUUGCACUGAAGGGGGAUAAAAGAAUCCAAAAAUAGUCGGAACAGGUAUUUACACCUACUUUUGUAAAUUUUACAAAUCUAAUACUCUGACAAAAGGUUUUAUAUCUCAAACAGUUAAUGCUGACUGCAUGUUAAAAUUUCGCAUUUACCCAAGCUCUUCCUGAAAAGCCAUGGUAGUCUGAGAUGCACUCAAACCUGCACCUGUGCCAGCUAUAAGGAGCAUCUACUCACACAUUGCAAAGAAAAUGUUAACUUCAAAAACAUUGGAAGUAAUAAGUCCAAGUAAAACAUUUAUUCUUAAAUAUUUUUUUGAAAGUGCUUCAUUUAUCUACCAGGAUUGUUAAAGAAAGGUGAAAGCAAUUUAUUGACUCAAUGCAUUAGAGUCAAUUUCUAACCCUCAUAUCCAUACACCUUACCCAAAAAGACACCAUUGUCAUUUCCUUAAUCUCUUCUUUGUAAAAAGAAUAGAUGAGAAAGCACUGAUCUUCAGGUUAAAGUUUUGUAUUUUGGUUUACUGUUUGGUUUACUUUCAAAAGCUCCGGGACAACAUACUGAGUUAUUUCCAGGAAC